rnacentral:tRNA from 1 species
CUUCUCGCGGUGUAGUGGCAACGCGCUUGUCUGAGGAGUAGAUGUCGUGAGUUCGAGGCUCAUCGAGAGGA